rnacentral:rRNA from 1 species
GACGAACGCUGGCGGCGUGCUUAACACAUGCAAGUCGAACGAAGUGGCGAACGGGUGAGUAACGCGUAAUCAACCUGCCCUUCAGAGGGUGACAACAGUUGGAAACGACUGCUAAUACCGCAUACUGAAGGAGGGGAUUGUGUCUGAUUAGCUAGUUGGAGGGGUAACGGCCCACCAAGGCGAUGAUCAGUAGCCGGUCGGGGAGGAUGAACGGCCACAUUGGGACUGGGAGACGGCCCAGACCCCUAAGGGAGGCAGCAAUGGGGAAUCUUCCGAAAUGGAGGAAAGUCUGGAGGAGGAAAGCCGCGUGAGUGAUGACGGCCCUCGGGUUGUAAAGGUAUGUUAAUCGGGACGCGGUACCGGAAUAGAAAGCCACGGCUAACUACGUGCCAGCAGCCGCGGUAAUAC